UCUCCAAAUCAGUCCCAAAUUCGUGUUAAUUCAGAAGGUUCGAGUAGAUUCAUACUCUUGCACAAAAGACUAGGUGCUCCAAGCUAAAUCACCCACCAAACUUACUCUCGGAACUUCAAGUCAAGACUUGUAAACCGUUAAUUGUUGAAGUAUGGACUAAAGAUGAAACGAGAUUUAGGCUAUGUUGUUAUUUCUAUUUGA
rnacentral:lncRNA from 1 species